CCACAGCACAGAAAAAGCUCAGCAUGCUCUCCAGGGCUUUUGAACUACAUGCGCGAUCCGUAGUCCAAGAUAAAAGCCAAUCCUUCCUCGGUGAGGAACACCUGUCCUAAUGAAGUGCCAGCCCCUCAUCUCAACAGCAUCAGUGACAUGUUUUGCAAUCCUCGCACAGUUGAUAUAACAGGGAGGGAAGAGAGCAGUUCUGGUUCCACCGAUGGAGAUAUAGAAGAUAACAGAUCGCUUCAUUGGUUUUAUGACUCAUCGCCAUUUAUUUAUCACCCUCAUUCAGUGAAUGAAUUGGA
ensembl:lncRNA